rnacentral:lncRNA from 10 species
GGUGAUGCAGCAAGAAAGCUGCCACCAGAUGCAGCCCCUUGAUCUCGGACUGCCCAGCCUCUAGAACUGGGCUUCAGUAGAAGAGGAAGAGGCUUGGGUUUAAUUGAAGGUGGCCUGAGACAUCUGUGAGGAACAGCCCUUUUAGAGACAUAUCCCCUACAAAUAAAGCAUCAGAAUUAUUAUCCUAAUACAUGAACAUCCAUGGUUCCUUCAGCACCAUCGUAAUGCAGAGACCAUGGGGAGAUGCAGGGAGAGGGCUCUGCACAGCAUGGCCAACUUGCCGGGUUGAAAACAGACAACCUCCAUGGAGCAGGGACUUCAAUUAGUUAAUUCCCCAUCCCCACUGUCACUUACUAACAUGGGAUUCUGAUUAAAAAUUAGAUUCUCUGCAA